UACGGAGGGGGCUAGCGUUGUUCGGAAUCACUGGGCGUAAAGGGCGCGUAGGCGGCCUGAUAAGUAGGGGGUGAAAUCCUGCGGCUUAACCGCAGGGCUGCCUUCUAAACUGUCAGGCUAGAGCACAGUAGAGGCAGGUGGAAUUCCCGGUGUAGCGGUGGAAUGCGUAGAGAUCGGGAAGAACAUCAGUGGCGAAGGCGGCCUGCUGGGCUGUUGCUGACGCUGAGGCGCGACAGCGUGGGGAGCAAACAGG
rnacentral:rRNA from 1 species